CAGCUUUUAUUGCUAUUGCUAGCUAAUAUUGGAUGGAAUAAGUGUCAGGAUGAAGCUGAAACAAGAGUCAAAAUUUCACUAUUAUCUAAACAUAAGAGCCACCACAACAAUAACAAAAGCAAAAAAAAAUUGAAGCAGAGCCUCACCUUAAAUCAUUAGGAGUUUAGGACGAUAGCAAUCGAAGUGGGGGCUUUAGGAGUUCAUGCCAAUGAGAGAUCCACGACGUCACUUUUGUCGAUAGAGAUUGUAGAAGAUGGAGAU
rnacentral:lncRNA from 1 species